GUGCUCCUACGGGACGCAGCAGUGGGGAAUAUUGCACAAUGGGGGGAACCCUGAUGCAGCGACGCCGCGUGGGCGAUGGAGUAUUUCGGUAUGUAAAGCCCUAUCGGCAGGGAAGAAAAUGACAGUACCUGACUAAGAAGCCCCGGCUAACUACGUGCCAGCAGCCGCGGUAAUACGUAGGGGGCAAGCGUUAUCCGGAUUCACUGGGCGUAAAGGGAGCGCAGGCGGCACGGCAAGCCUGGUGUGAAAACCCGGGGCCCAACCCCGGGAGUGCAUUGGGAACUGCCGCGCCAUAGUGCCGGAGG
rnacentral:rRNA from 1 species